rnacentral:lncRNA from 1 species
GCUCACCUCUGCAGCUGUACCUGACUGAACAAUGCCAGCAAAUAGAGGAGCACGGUGCCAGCCUCAUACAGAGUGGUACGGGGUCAAGGCAAGGUUUUUUGCUGGGAACAGGGUGUGUGCAGGCUGAAAAGCACUGAGGAGGAACUGAGGCCAUGGCUGAUCCUGGGGGGUGCCCAGAGCAGCUCUGCAGGCGAGGUUAGUGCUUUUGCUCCUCUGUCAUCACCAGUCCCUGAGAGCAAUCACCACCCACCAACAGUUCCUCAAGAUAAGACUGAGCCAGCUGGGAGAAGAAACCCUUUGAUAUUUCCCUGCCUCGCUGAGGCCUGGGCAGAGUAAGGCAGAGUGCAGUGCUGGAGUCUCCCCGAUCCUCCUAUGGAUAUCAGCAGCUGCCACAUCUGGAGUCUGCAGCAAAGCUCCUUCCUCCAGAGGCCAAGAGCUGAGCCUACUGUUUCCAGCAAGAGAGAAGCGUGUGCUUGCAGAGCGCAGGCUGUGUGCGGCUGCAGGUCAGCACUCAGCAGGGUUACUGCAGGAAGACCCCUCCUCUCCUCUUGCUGGGGGAUUUGCUGA